rnacentral:snRNA from 1 species
GGAUGUGAAGGCAAUCUGGCUGGGACAUCUGUCAUGCUGAUAAUUUCCAGAGUUGAUCUGGUUGGUCUGGCAGGCUAGGAUGGUGUCCUUCCUGUGUCAUCACUCCAUCCUGGAAACUUCAAACUCCGUCAAAGAGAACCACCUUCCCCCAUAAAGGAGAACCACUUUCUCGGUCAAGGGGAUACAAGUAGUUGGGCUCCCCUGCUAGAACCUCCAAACAAGCUCUCAAAAGCAAUGAUAUUAAUCAAAAUUCCCUUUGGGAGAAAACACUUAUGCUUAGAUCACCCUGAAAAGGUCCCAUGUAGUAAAUGAAUAUGACAGCUGACCUG